AUGUCGAUACUCCUGAUCAGCUGAUCGUUGCAGUAUGCAGCAAACUCCUGUUGAUGGAGUAAGUUGUGUUACGUAAUGUUUUAGUUUUACAGCCAUUCCCGUCUGGAAUUAACACAUAUCAUCUCAUUUCGGUAAUUAAUAAACUUUAUAAUAACACAGGAAAACAAAUUAUAAAUUAUAUAAACUCAUUCAAAUUCUGUGUGUGUGUGUUUGUGUGUGUACCUAAUCUUUAAAUAAUCAUGUACAAUAAUUUUGAUUCAGACUGUUGAAGCAAAAGUCCGCAAAAAUACAUUGUUGCAACAUGUUUAUUUUUUAUAUUGAGGCUUUAUAUAUUUUUUAUUCAAACAGAUAUCUGGUUUUGCUGGUUUGUAGCUGACAAAAUAUCCAGUCACUAUCCAAAAUCAUCGCCCACCCACCACCCAAAAUAUUCAAAUUUCAUGUUCAAUGCAAUUUACACACAUAUACAAUUUAUAGCACAUUUAUACAUGAAAAAAAUCAAGUUACCAUUUUAUAUUUUGUGAUAGUGAGAUAUAGAUGACAAAAGUGUUAAUGUUUCUAUGUUGUAUCUUUCAAAUAUGAAGUUUCGAGCCAAGUCAUGCCAGACACCGAUGCCCAGAAAGUACAGGUCCCCAGUCCAUCAUGGUGUAAAGUCGCUGUCCAGUGUACACCAGAAGCAUGGCACACCGUGCUUCACAGUAUGAGGUCCCACAAUGAUAUGGAAGAGUAUAAAUGCGACAAAACCCUUUCCAUAUUCAUAUGAAAUCUCUGUAAAAAACAGUUGAUGGUACGAUUCUGACUAAAUCAUGAGCAUGUGUUAAUGAAUCGCUAUCAAAUAGUGAUAAUACCAGGUGUUCACGAAAGGUGAGAGUAUCCUGCCCCACCGAUGUCACAAGAAAUCCCUGGUGUUGAGAUCCAUUUUCAUUGUGUGCAAAUUGUGUUUAUUUUCAUGCAGAGUUACAAGUCAUAAAAUAUUAGAGUGUCUUGUGAGGUACAGUGCUUCAGAGAACAAGAGAGCUGUACUUUUGAAAUAGUCAACCAGUGCACUAACAAGUUACCACUGAGCAUUCAGCCAGUGCUUGUGAUAUUUUCUUCAGUCUUUUCCCCGGCCUUCGCCCUUGCCCAAAACUACCUGAUCCAGCAUCAGCCAUCCUGUAUUACAGAAACUUAUCAAAUGAAACAGCAAAGGCUGAUUGUUGUCAGAGACCAUAAAACAAGAUUUCAAUGAAAAAAGUUUAUUUUAAUGAGCAUAGAGAAAAACUUUCCAUACAUCAGAUGGAAAUCUUUCAUGAAUCACCUCGACAACACAAGAUGGAAUAACUUUUCUCUGAUUCUUCAACUAUUUCUGCAAAUCCCCAAAGUGAACCUCUUGUUUAUGAGGUGUAGAUAGAUUCUGAAAUGAAAAAGUGUCUUUUAUCAGUCAAAACUAUGCACAACAUUACACAAAAAUAUCAUACCAUUUACAUAUAUAUUUUUGUCAUUAAAUCUGGAGGGAUGCUUAUAUAAGAAGUAACUUGUAUUGAUGUUAUAUGCAUAAUUUUUAUUACAUGUUAAUAAUUCAAUAAAUACCAAAACAGUUUAUAGUUCUAUCAUGUUGACAUGAUGUGUUUAUUACUGUAGGUUUGAAUACUUCUUGAAAUAUUGUGGGCAUGUUUCAAUAUCACUGAUGUAAUUUAAUAACCUUACAAGUUACAUAUGCUUUCACAACUUGCUGGCAAAUAAACAUUUAUGGUACUC